rnacentral:rRNA from 1 species
GACGAACGCUGGCGGCGUGCUUAACACAUGCAAGUCGAACGGAAAGGCCUGCUUUCCCUUGUGGAUUGCGGGUACUCGAGUGGCGAACGGGUGAGUAACACGUGAGUGAUCUGCCCCCAACUUGGGUAUAAGCCUGGGAAACUGGGUCUAAUUCCCGAUAGGACUGCAGGGUGGUGUCUGUGGUGGAAAACGAUUUUCUAGUGGUUGGGGAUGAGCUCGCGGCCUAUCAGCUUGUUGGUGGGGUAAUGGCCUACCAAGGCGGCGACGGGUAGCCGGCCUGAGAGGGUGGACGGCCACAUUGGGACUGAGAUACGGCCCAGACUCCUACGGGAGGCAGCAGUGGGGAAUAUUGCACAAUGGGCGGAAGCCUGAUGCAGCGACGCCGCGUGGGGGAUGACGGCCUUCGGGUUGUAAACUCCUUUCGACCGCGAGGAAGCCACCUGGUUGGAAGGGUGGUGACGGUAGUGGUAGAAGAAGCACCGGCUAACUACGUG